rnacentral:rRNA from 1 species
GCCAGACUCCUACGGGAGGCAGCAGUGAGGAAUAUUGGUCAAUGGGCGAGAGCCUGAACCAGCCAAGUCGCGUGAGGGAGUACUGCCCUAUGGGUUGUAAACCUCUUUUGUCGGGGAGCAAAAGCCGGACUUGUCCGGCUGUGAGAGUACCCGAAGAAAAAGCAUCGGCUAACUCCGUGCCAGCAGCCGCGGUAAUACGGAGGAUGCGAGCGUUAUCCGGAUUUAUUGGGUUUAAAGGGUGCGCAGGCGGAUUUUUAAGUCAGCGGUCAAAUCGUGGGGCUCAACCCCAUCCAGCCGUUGAAACUGGGGAUCUAGAGUGUGCGAGAGGUAUGCGGAAUGCGUGGUGUAGCGGUGAAAUGCAUAGAUAUCACGCAGAACCCCGAUUGCGAAGGCAGCGUACCGGCUCCACACUGACGCUGAGGCACGAAAGCGUGGGUAUCGAACAGGAUUAGAUACCCGAGUA